rnacentral:rRNA from 1 species
AAGUAGGGGAUCGUAAGACCUUGCGCUUUUGGAGUGGCCGAUGCCUGAUUAGCUAGUUGGUGGGGUAAGGGCCUACCAAGGCGACGAUCAGUAGUUGGUCUGAGAGGACGACCAGCCACACUGGGACUGAGACACGGCCCAGACUCCUACGGGAGGCAGCAGUGGGGAAUUUUGGACAAUGGGCGAAAGCCUGAUCCAGCAAUGCCGCGUGAGUGAAGAAGGCCUUCGGGUUGUAAAGCUCUUUCAGUCGAGAAGAAAAGGUCGCGACUAAUAAUCGCGACUCAUGACGGUAUCGACAGAAGAAGCACCGGCUAACUACGUGCCAGCAGCCGCGGUAAUACGUAGGGUGCGAGCGUUAAUCGGAAUUACUGGGCGUAAAGGGUGCGCAGGCGGCUUUGUAAGUCAGAUGUGAAAUCCCCGGGCUUAACCUGGGAAUUGCGUUUGAAACUACAAAGCUUAG